UCCGACAUUUGCGGCCCCGAUGAAAUUCUCAGAAAAUAUAUAAUAAUGAGGGCGUGGAACUUGUCCAACCCAGGCCGAAGGUUUCUUCAAAAAACAUGUGGGUUCGAAGAAACGGAUUCGAGUUCACUCAAACGACUUCACCAGACCAACGUCGCAACGACUUCGAUUCGAUGAGAAAAAACGACGUUGAAUUUUGUAUGGAAAAAACGACUUCGUUUCGAGUUCACACAAACGACUUCACCAGAGCGACGUCGCAACGACGUCGUCUUCGCCCUAUGGCAAAUUGGGUUGAAACUUGCGCAGCGGCAUUUUCGUGGUUGCGCAUGUGUUGGUGCGCUGCAGCAGAACUGUCACUUUAAUGCGGGGUAGAAGCUGGAGCAACUUUUUGAGAAACUUUACCUCACCUCUCUUGCCUUCAGACUGAGUUGUUCUCUUGGCAGAAAUGUUCCUGUGUAAAACCGACCUAUCGUAACUCAUACUUACAUACAUAUGUACUUGUUAAGCUUAAAACUUUGUGGUAGGAUAUUCAUUUCAUAAAUAAUCCAUUCAAUAUAAUAAAUUUUGUUGUUGUAUUACCUUCGACAUUUUCCCAAUAAGUGGAAUUCGAAAAAACUUUUUUUGUAUAUCAUAUGUUUAUUAUAUAUAUAUAUUUUAGGUAUAUAUUUGCAAUAAUCUUUAUAUAGAUUUAAUAUUUUUUAUCUUGCAUUAUCUAUGCUAUAUUUAUAAUAAUAAACAAGUAAUUAUUCAUAUUCAUCAUAAAUUGCAUUUUUUUUUUGUUUUUUUUUUUACACUUCGCCUUCAGUGUACCACCAUUUCUACAUGUAUGUAUAUAGUAAUAAUUGUUUACAAUACACCUCAUACCAUUAUUAAAUAAUGCACAUAGUUUAAUUUUAUUUAUUUUUUUCGUUUUCGUCUCACAUACAUAUAAGUUUCAACAUUGGUUUUUUUUUAUCGUCAUCAUAUUCAACAGCUGUAAGUAUAAGUAUAAUUUUCCAGUGCACCGCUCUGGACAUGGAAUUUCUCGUUUGUCUGCAGUAAGCAAAGUCCUUAUAUGUAUGUAUGUAUAUGUAUGCCUUUUUGCGUCAAUACUUUUUACUUUAUUAUUUAUUAUGCCAAGCAUCACAAACACCAAACAUUUAUUUAUUAAAAAAAUAUAUGUAUAACUCCUACACUUCAUUCCUGUAAAAUUGAAAUUUGUUAGAUAUUUCAUUCCUCUUUUCCAGCCUUCUAGUUUAGUGGCAUCAUCAUUCCUUAGGGGAAAAUGGAAUUCGCUAUUAUGUAUUUGUUUUCCACUAAAUCGACUUCCACUUUGCUUGCGUUGUGCUAUAUAAAUAUGUAUGUAUGUAUGUGUAUAUGUGUAUUACAUAGUAUAAUUGAGAAUAAAAAAA